GUCUAUGGCCAUGCCACCCUGAAUGUGCCUGAUCUCGUCUGAUCUCAGAAGCUAAGCAGGGUCAGGCCUGAUUUGUACUUGAAUGGGAGACCACCUAGGAAGACCAGGUGCCGUAGGCA
rnacentral:rRNA from 1 species